GGCUCCGUAGCUCAGUUGGUUAGAGCGCCGCCCUGUCACGGCGGAGGUCGCCGGUUCAAGUCCGGUCGGAGUCGCGA
rnacentral:tRNA from 3 species